rnacentral:rRNA from 1 species
AUUGAACGCUGGCGGCAUGCCUUACACAUGCAAGUCGAACGGUAACGCGGGGCAACCUGGCGACGAGUGGCGAACGGGUGAGUAAAGUAUCGGAACGUGCCCAGUAGUGGGGGAUAGCCCGGCGAAAGCCGGAUUAAUACCGCAUGAGACCUGAGGGUGAAAGCGGGGGAUCGCAAGACCUCGCGCUAUUGGAGCGGCCGAUAUCAGAUUAGGUAGUUGGUGGGGUAAAAGCCUACCAAGCCGACGAUCUGUAGCUGGUCUGAGAGGACGACCAGCCGCACUGGGAGUGAGCAACGGCCAAGACUCGUAGGGAAGGAGGCAGGGGGGAAUUUUGGACAAUGGGCCCAGGCGUGAUCAGGCCAUCCCGCGUGCGGGAAGAGGGCCUUCGGGUUGUAAACCGCUUUGGUCAGGAAGAAAUCUUCUGGGUUAAUACCUCGGGAGGAUGACGGUACCUGAAGAAUAAGCACCGGCUAACUACGUGCCAGCAGCCGCCGUAAAAC